AAGAUGCAGGUGGUAGGAGACGUCUCCUUCCGGCUGAUUUACCCACUUCCUGGUGGGGAGAGAUCGUGAGGUCUGAGUUAAUGACCAGAUGGCAUGGGAAGUCCUUGAAGGCUAGAAGAUGCUCACACGGGGUACAAAUACCUCUGUCUCUUAAAGAGCCUUACACAAGCCAGGCUGGCAUCACUGUCUGUGUAGCUGAGCUGACCUUAGACUCCUUAUCCAGCUGCUUGCAUCUCCCCAGUGCUGGGAUCUCAGGAGCACACCACCCCGCCACCAUGUCCAAUUCCCGCUGCAUGAUUUCUCAGCACGGCCCAAAAUGACAACGGUCAUUUUCUUCCUUCUCCAGCAGCGCCCUUUGGCCCCGAGGAAAGGGAUCGGAAUCUGCCAUCGCUGCAGGUGCAGAGAGAGCCCUGGACUGUCUGUGUGACUUUGGACAAAUUACACCCUCUCUCUGUGGCGUUUCCUCGUCUCUGCACUAAGUUAGUGGUGUUAGGGAUGACUAGCUGGAUCAAAUAGAAGGACUUCGAGAACUGCCAAACAAUUUUACUAAUAUAAAGAAUUUUUAUUUGGGUACUGGGGAAUCAGAUUGGACAUUAUCCAACGUCUGUGAGAAUCUAAUGUUCUUUGUUCUUGGAGGCCUGAAGGAAUUGCAAAUUCAAAUUUUGGACUUGAAUCAAGUUUGGCCUAAGGACCCAGACAGCAAAGCAAGUCAGCUAUUGCCACAGAAAUAUGUAUAGAGCCUUAGCUAUUGGCUUUAAUUUGUAGGCAGAGACAGAUAAGGCACAGUCUUCACCUUCGGGGAGGGUGGCUUUGGCAAGUAGAAUCCCAGAUAGGCAUGUUGGAAUGUGGGUUCAGCUCCCUCUCUCCUAAACUCAUAAUCUGGGCAUCACGGAGCCUCCGUUUCCCCUUCUGCAGAGGCCCGGCUGACUGUGAAAGACUCACGCAGACAAAUGAACUGGGCUCUGCAAACGUGGGAGACCAUGUGGACAGGUGUCUGAGAAGACAGGAGAGGCCCAGGAAGCCUCUUGCCGAGACUGCGGUGGGGCACGCUUUGAAGUGUCUCCCUGGUUAGGGAGGCUGCCCCUCUUGUAGGUGCCAUCACUUGUCAUUUACUCCUCCAUUCCGGCUUUGGAGGUGGCUCUCAUAAACACAGGGCCUCACGCAGCCUGCUCUGUGCAAGGGAAGACUGAUGGAGGAGGCUGGAGCCACAGGGGAGGACUCGCUGAAUGAAGGAGGUCGCUGGGAGGAGUGGCCUAAUGAGACUACCAGACUCCCAAGCUUCUCUCCUUGGAGCGUAAAUAUUUCCAACUAAGAUCACAGACUCCCUUUCUACAGAAAUCAAUGAAACCGCAAGGACAACGAUCUCUGCAUGGCUGCCCCGCAGCUAUCUCAGACGGUCACUUCCCCUCCCCAGCUGCACCAGGGCACAGGAUUUGCUCAAGCACUGUGUAGAGAGAUUCUGAAGCUGUGCGGACAUCAGGUGGCUUAGUCCCCACCGAUCUCAUUCUACUUGCAGAAGAGAGAGCAGAAGCUCCAUUGUGUGAGGGGUGGCUCUGCGCCCCUCUUUCCUGCAACACUUGCUUGGCAUUGGAGACCUGGGCUUGCAGGGCAUGGUGGCACGUGCCUUUAAUCCUAGCACUCAGGAGGCUGAGGCAGGCGGGUCUCUGAGUUCGAGGCUAGCCAUCCUGAAACUCAUUAUAUCUGGCCUUGAACUCAGAGAAACCCUGUCAGGAAAAACAAAACAACCAAAACCCCAAGAGACCCGGAUUAGGUUCUUCUUGAGUGAUUACUGAUUUAGUGUUUAGGACAAAACAGACAUUCUCCAAGCUGAAUCUCAUGUAUAUAAUGAAGAUGGCUGUGUCAAUCCUACCUGUCUUAGAGAAACAACGAGAUCAAAAGACGUCUGUCUAUGCGCGUGUCUUAUAAAGCUUUUGAUACAUAGAAGGUUUUAUGAAGAGAUAUUGUUAAAAGAUUAAAAAUAAAGUACUUAAA